rnacentral:lncRNA from 1 species
UUAGGAAAAAAUAUAUAUAUAAAAUAAUAAUAAAAUAAAUUUAAUUCGUGUUACUGUUUGCACUCACAAUUUUAACAUUUUGAAACUGUUAUCAAUCUUUCAUUUUUACCCCUUCUUUCAAUGACCAACAAACCCAAUAUGGUUUUACUAGCUACAGUUUUCCCUUUCUAUUUCCACACCCCUACCUACAAUAUCAAUUUUUUUUUUAUUUUCUUUAUAAGAUUUCUCCACCCAAAUUCUUUAUUAUUUUAUUCACUAUCUAUCUUCUUAAUUUUUCCACUCAAUUUUCUUUUUACUAUUCUCUUCAUUUAAUUUCUGACUUAAAUUUUUAUUAUUAUUUUUCUUCACUGUUUUCUUUAUCUAAAUUUUCUGUCCAUUUUUUAAUUAUUUUUUAACUCUCACCUUCCCUACUCAUAUUUUAUAAUUACCUACGCAUUUUUAUUUUCAUGAC